rnacentral:tRNA from 1 species
UCCCUGGUGGUCUAGUGGUUAGGACUCGGCACUCUCACUGCCGUGGCCCGGGUUCAAUCCCUGGUCGGGGAA